rnacentral:lncRNA from 1 species
CCAAGUGUCACCAGUGACCCCUCGUCUCCACAUCCCGGAGCGCUCUGUCUCCGGCUUUGUUCGUGCUGGCCUGGACAUAGCACUGCGCCUUUCCAUCUGUGACUGCUCCCGCUCACUCCUGCAGCCCUGCUGAGCACUUCCGCUUCUCUUGUGCAUCCUCUUGACAGAAAGGGCUUUCCCUGGGUGUGUUUUGCUACGUUUUGACAAAGGACAGAUAAAAUAUAAUACCACAAACAGGAAAUACUGGGCAUGUAAAAGUAAUGCAUCUUGGUAAUACCACCAUUAGCGUUUUCACUUGCAGCAUUGCAGAAGCAGAGGCUGAAAUACCUCAGCUGGCAUUGGCACUUCUGCCCUGGCUUUGCUGCAGCUUUACCAGACAGGUUCCCAUGGAUGAUGCUGAAUGUAAAAAGACGGAUGAAGAGCUGUCUCAUGAACCCAGUUAUUCUGACAGAGGGAUGUGUUGUAAGAUUCUGUACAAUGAUUUUUCAGACCACUUGGGCAGUUCAUUAGUGAAUCCCAUUUUGCAGAGGACAGCCCCAUUUGAGGGACUGUCAGCCUGAGAUGAUGGUGCCUGCAUAUUGAAGACUCAGGAACUGUACAGAACAUCAGACUCUGAUGCCAUUCCAGGGCUGUAGGCUCUUCCUUGGACCACCCUUCACUUUUAUUUGUACAACACUAAAUUGUACUAGCACUAAAAGGACUCCCUUUCCCUUUAGACCUCAAACCAUAUAAAUACAUGUAAACAAUAAUAACUUGCCACCAAAGCACUUCAAAGUGGACCACAGAGAUCAACAGAGGUCAGAUCCUCUCUAACUCCAUGUAAACAGCAGCAAUACCCUUGAAAAUUAGUGAUGGUGGAAAGUGAUAGAUAUUUAUUCCUAAGAACUAGCUGUCUGUUUCCAGAGUAGAAAUCAACUCAUACUUUGUAAGAGAAAUUACACUACCUCUCUAAACUUAGAUUUAAAAGUGUCAGCCUCUCUACUCAUGAAAGUGUGCAUUCAUUGCUAAGGUACACAGUAGCCAUAAGAAAAUUUUCCUACCAUUAAGUUGGUAUUUAAUUUACCUCUCUCAUGCAAGUCACUUGAAAUUAACAUUCAGUAAAUUGUUUUUAGAGGAGAUGUGGUAGGGACAAACUGAGUAUCUAAGUAAACCCUGCUUGUUCCUUGCCUGAGUAAAUUAGGAAUAUUAAAAAAUAGUGCCCCGUGAUGGUGGAUGUGUAAUAAAAGUAAUAAAUAGUAUCUAACA